AAAUAAGGGAUUUCAUGCUAUAAUAGAGUAUUAAGCCUAGAUCAAGCUAAAAGGGACCUUGUACUCAUGCAAGGGAGUCUCUAAUACACAUAAAUGGUGAGUUGAUUAAUUAAAAAGAAAAAGAAGAAAGAAAAGAAAAGAUUUAGGGAACCGGGGAGUUGAAUCAAUUAAAGUUCCCUAUGUUAUAAUUGGCACGUAGAUUAUG
rnacentral:lncRNA from 1 species